ACGUCACAUACUUUAGUUAUUUCAGAAAAACCAGUUGAAGGGGAGGAAUCGUCGCCUCCUCAACAAAAUGUUAAUACAUCUACUCCUCCUUCGAGCCCCCGUGCCCCUUCACCAAAAAGGGCACGGGUUGAAAAGAUUGUUGAUCCUGCCCCUCAGUUGGGCAGUUCGUCGACUCUGCUCUUAGAUGAUCCAAUGAUCAAAGAGCUUCUUCGGAUCGGGUCCCAAUUUGUUGGGUACCGUGAAUAUGCCGCCAGAGCCGAAG